GAUGAACGCUGGCGGCGUGUCUAAUACAUGCAAGUCGAGCGAACAGAUGAGGAGCUUGCUCCUCUGACGUUAGCGGCGGACGGGUGAGUAACACGUGGAUAACCUACCUAUAAGACUGGGAUAACUUCGGGAAACCGGAGCUAAUACCGGAUAAUAUAUUGAACCGCAUGGUUCAAUAGUGAAAGACGGUUUUGCUGUCACUUAUAGAUGGAUCCGAGCCGCAUUAGCUAGUUGGUAAGGUAACGGCUUACCAAGGCAACGAUGCGUAGCCGACCUGAGAGGGUGAUCGGCCACACUGGAACGUGGACCCGGUCCAGACUCCCACGGGAGGCAGCAGUAGGGAGUCUUCCGCACUGGGCGAAAGCCUGACGGAGCAACGCCGCGUGAGUAAUGAAGGUCUUCGGAUCGUAAAACUCUGUUAUUAGGGAAGAACAAAUGUGUAAGUAACUAUGCACGUCUUGACGGUACCUAAUCAGAAAGCCAGGGCUCACUACGUG
rnacentral:rRNA from 1 species